GAAGUAAAACAGCAGCAGUAUUCGGUCAGCUGGAGAAACUUUGGUGGUCUCCUGUUUCGGCAUUUAAAGUUUGGAAGAGAAAGAAAAUAAGCGGGCAGAAGAUGAUGAUGAUGAAGAUGAAAAUUAAUCUGCUGAUGUGGCUUGUUGCUGCUGCAGUCAUUUUAUCAACGGGAGAUCCUGCUGGUGAUGAUGAUGAUGGUGAUGAUGAAGAUCUCUCUGGCUCUGGUAAUGGUGAAUUAAACCCCAAAAGCUACCCCUCCUCCUCAGAGAAGACUCAAGAAGAUGACACAUCCGAGUCACCAUCUUCCUCUGCCACUAACCACAACCUCCUCCAUGUGGUC